AUAUCUUAUUUGUUUGCCCACAUUUAAAUGGUAUAAGACUACUUUCAUUUUCAUUGAUAUCUGCUGUUUAUCCAAGCACAUUUAUGCUUGCCUUCUUAAGAUAAAGAGCUAGAGAGAAAAAGGAGUAUAGAAGAAAAACAAAUUAAUGGAUAUCAACAAUUAACCAGCAGGAAACAAAAACCACCACUAUUGCACAAACAUGGUUCAUCUUAGUGUACAACGCCAACUCAUCAUCUCGACUUGCCUAUGCAAUGCAACGUGAAACAAAAGACACACAUGCAUCUCGCAGCAUCAAUCAAUCCACGUACGUACACCCUCUCCGAUCCGAAAGACAAUGAAGUUGCAUAGCAUAGCCGUUGAGCUUAGUUGCCGGGGACGAAGUUGGUGGCGUAGGCCCAUGCGUUGUUGUUGACUGGGUCAGCGAUGUGGUCAGCGAGGUUCUCGAGCGGGCCCUUGCCGGUGACGAUGGCCUGGACGAAGAAGCCGAACAUGGAAAACAUGGCGAGGCGGCCGUUCUUGAGCUCCUUCACCUUGAGCUCGGCGAAGGCCUCGGGGUCGUCGGCCAGGCCGAGGGGGUCGAAGCUGCCGCCAGGGUACAGCGGGUCGACGACCUCGCCGAGCGGCCCGCCGGCAAUGCGGUAGCCCUCGACGGCACCCAUGAGCACGACCUGGCAGGCCCAGAUGGCGAGGAUGCUCUGCGCGUGGAUCAGGCUGGGGUUGCCGAGGUAGUCCAGCCCGCCCUCGCUGAAGAUCUGGGAGCCGGCCUUGAACCAGACGGCCUCGCCGAACUUGACGCCGUUGCGGGAGAGCAGCUCGGGGAAGACGCAGCCGAGCGCGCCGAGCAUGGCCCAGCGGGAGUGGAUCACCUCCAGCUCGCGGUUCUUGGCGAAUGUCUCGGGGUCGGCGGACAGCCCGGCGGUGUCCCAGCCGUAGUCGCCGGGGAACUCGCCGGUGAGGUAGCUCGGGGGCUCGCCGGAGAAGGGGCCGAGGUACUUGACGCGGUCGGGGCCGUACCAGGGGCUGCCGGACGCCGCCACCUUGGGCUUGCCCACGGUCUUGCGCAUGGUGAUGCGGCCCUCGCCGAAGGAACCCACCUUGAUGGGGGUGCCGGCCAUCGCCGUGGAGGAGAUCGCCAUGGUGGAGGCAGCCAUUGCUGAAGCUGAGCGUGAAAGUGUUGGACCGGUUGCUAUAGAUGCCGCUGGUGGAGUGU
rnacentral:lncRNA from 1 species